GACGAACGCUGGCGGCGUGCUUAACACAUGCAAGUCGAACGGAAAGGCCCGGCUUUUGUGGGGUGCUCGAGUGGCGAACGGGGGAGUAACACGUGAGUAACCUGCCCCUGACUUUGGGAUAACUUCAGGAAACAGGGGCUAAUACCGGAUAGGAGCUCCUGCUGCAUGGUGGUGGUUGGAGAGUUUCGGCGGUUGGGGGUGGGCUGGCGGGUUAUCAGCUUGUUGGUGGGGUAGUGGCGUUCCCAGGUUUUGACGGGUAGGCGGCCUGAGAGGGUGAGCGGCCACACUGGGACUGAGGGACGGCACAGGCUCCUACGGGAGGCAGCAGUGGGGAAGAUUGCAGAAUGGGCGGAAGCCUGAUGAAGAAACGCCGCGUGCGGGAUAACGGCCUUCGGGUUGUAAACAGCUGUCGCAUGUGACGAAGCGUGAGUGACGGUAAUGGGUAAAGAAGCACCGGCUAACUACGUG
rnacentral:rRNA from 1 species